CCUACGGGCGGCAGCAGUGAGGAAUAUUGGUCAAUGGGCGAGAGUCUGACCCAGCCAAGUAGCGUGAAGGAUGACUGCCCUAUGGUUUGUAAACUUCUUUUAUAAAGGAAUAAAACGAGGCACGUGUGCCUUUUUGAAUGUACUUUAUGAAUAAGGAUCGGCUAACUCCGUGCCAGCAGCCGCGGUAAUACGGAGGAUCCGAGCGUUAUCCGGAUUUAUUGGGUUUAAAGGGAGCGUAGAUGGGUUGUUAAGUCAGUUGUGAAAGUUUGCGGCUCAACCGUAAAAUUGCAAUUGAUACUGGCAGUCUUGAGUACAGUAGAGGUAGGCGGAAUUCGUGGUGUAGCGGUGAAAUGCUUAGAUAUCACGAAGAACCCCGAUUGCGAAGGCAGCUUACUAAACUGUGACUGACAUUGAUGCUCGAAAGUGUGGGUAGCAAACAGGAUUAGAUACCCCAGUAGUC
rnacentral:rRNA from 1 species